AGAGAAAGGAGAGAGAGAACGCAGAGGGAGGGAGGCAGGGAGGGAGACCAAACCCCCGCUUUACUGCGUUGAAAGCUUCUGAAUUUCAAGCAGAAAGUAGAAGGAGCUCCAAAGGCAGUGAGCGUCUUUCCUUGGGCUGCGUGUGCCGAGCGUAGACAAUGAAAAUCUUCAUCCCCCUCCCCCAUUCUACUAGGCUACAAGAUUCUUGUUUUCGUUCCUUCUCACCGGUGGAAGAUGUGUAAAAUCAAAGAUGUAGAGGUGUGUAGUGAUUUUUUUAAAAGCCAACUAACCACCGCACGGACUGCGACGCGGAUUACCCGAGCGCACGCCGGCUGGGCGCAUUCUGGGGUCUCUGCGCAAGACCAGCUCUCAGCUCUCUCUCCUUUCCUCGGACUCUGGAGCGGGAGCGGGCCUUUCCCUCGGGUCGACCACGCCGUAGGGGACGCCGUGAAAAGAGCCGUCGCGCCCGCUGCCUCCUGCCCGCUGCGCAGAGGGCUCCGCCCGUAGAGGUCAACUUCCCUCACCCUUUUCUCUCUCCUGCUUGCCCUCCCUCCGCCCGGCCCAGGCGCUUCCAGCCCCAGACUGUGGCCACUGGCUGAGGAGUGCGAGUCGGCUGCGCUGCCCUGAGCCUAAUCCCUCUUCCGGGCCCAGACCCGAGGUCCGCGCUCCUGGGCAGUGGGGAAGCUUUAGUGAGCAGGCUUUUCUCUCCGCAGCAAACUUGUAGCCAGACCAGAUGGGCCGCCCAGCUCUCUCGGGACUAGGCAGGUGCGGAUGAGUUAAUUUUUCCGCAUUACAAAGAAAGAUGACCCAGCCCGCCCUUGGACUCUCUUUUCCCAAAAUCUCCCAACCAAACCCGCGGUAACGUUAUCAAAGGACACAGAGCCCAGGCAUAUCUGUGUGUUUAUCUUACAGGCACACACGCAUGGUUUUCUCUUUUAUAUGCUAGAUUUCAUCCCUGACAGCAGAAAAUGAUUGGCAAUGGUUAUGACGGAGAACAUGCAAUAGCGUGGUCCUUAAAAACCUGCCAUUCCUUACAAGUGCCUUAGAAAGGAUUCAGGGCGAACCAACUGGGUUAAUUGCAUUCAGUAAAAUAACACGAUUACAAAAUUAAAAAAAAAAAA
rnacentral:lncRNA from 1 species